UAUUUCCUUAUGUGACAGCUCUUCUCGUCUACAAUUCCCCCAACGCAUUCACUUCAGGAAACACGUCAAUGUUCAAAUUUU
ensembl:ncRNA R12C12.12 ncRNA